UGAGGAAUAUUGGUCAAUGGGCGGAAGCCUGAACCAGCCAAGUCGCGUGAGGGAAGACGGUCCUAUGGAUUGUAAACCUCUUUUGCAGGGAGCAAGACGCGGUACGUGUACCGUGCUGGAGAGUACCCGGAGAAAAGCAUCGGCUAACUCCGUGCCAGCAGCCGCGGUAAUACGGAGGAUGCGAGCGUUAUCCGGAUUUAUUGGGUUUAAAGGGUGCGUAGGCGGACUGGUAAGUCAGCGGUAAAAAUGCGGUGCUCAACGCCGUAGUGCCGUUGAAAACUGCCGGUCUUGAGUGAGCGAGAAGUAUGCGGAAUGCGUGGUGUAGCGGUGAAAUGCAUAGAUAUCACGCAGAACUCCGAUUGCGAAGGCAGCAUACCGGCGCUCAACUGACGCUGAGGCACGAAAGCGUGGGGAUCGAACAGGAUUAGAUACC
rnacentral:rRNA from 1 species